AGUUCUAAGAAGUUGCUACCGAGUUUCUGUGCUCGAACCUGAAGGCAAACAAAUGUUAGUUUCUUGAUUAUUACUAGUCUUUUGUUGGUCUCAUCGUAGUACCAGGCUACCAGCCAUUAAGGAAGAGGCCUCGAAGAACCCUCGGCCACCAUCACAUACACCAGCAGAAAUGUCAUGUCGAUCCAACCAUUACGGCGCUAAUAGCUGGUGUAGGUUAAGGAUGUCCACCUUGAUAGAUGUCACAUUUCGGCAAUGAAAUCUUCGAACAUUUCUCACACUCAAACUUAGUUCAUUUCUCCUAAUCCGUGGAGUUCAUUUCUCCUAAUUCGUGAGGUUCACAUCUUCUGCUACUUUAGUUAGAUAUUCUUGCUAGAUUGACUAUUAUUUUAUUUCUUUUUGAUAGUGUAAAGUUCCAUGUGCAUAAAUGUAGCUACACUGGGGGUUCACUCGCGUAUCCUCGACAGUCCAGCGGGCUUCACAUCGCUCUCUACAGCUCCAUCUUUAGGAAGUGCGCACUUAUGUUCUAUAGCAGUUCAUUGUCAAUGAUGGUUGGCAAUCGACACGCAACCAACAAGAAGUCAAUCCGAAAAGAGUGAAGAAGUUUGGAGAAGUUGUGAACCUCAUCAACGUCAUGGUAGUCACCCACGACGAGGGCAGUGCGUAGAGGCAGGCUUGCACAGCAGUAGGUGUUGUCUGUCACGUAGGGUAGCAGCUUGGGUGAUGAAUUCAACAAGACUUGUAGAGCUUGGCUGGAAGACACUAUAAUAUUUUUGAAUUAGCUCAUGUAUUUAGGGGAGAAGUUUUUCUGCACUUCAACGUUGUUGUGUAGGAUUCGUACUGUCUUAUAGAUCUUGAGUAAAUAAUGGUCUGCAUUCAUGUGUUAUUUACCAUUCUUGAAUAAAAAUAGUGGAUUGCUCA